UCCUCCUGAUUGAUUACUCUGUUCUCAAACACCAAUUGAUUCCUUGAUACCCAUAAGGCCCAAGCAACCCAUGGUAGGAUAUUGCCAGAGAAAUCCGAGGGCAGAAGACAAAAUAUACUUUGGAAGCGUUUCAGAGCCAGUUUUAUAUCAUCCAUCGCAGUUGUGGAGAUUGUAGCGGAUAGGGGGAUUAGUUUCCACACUUGCUGUGCAAAGCUACACGAGAAGAAGACAUGGGAGGGAGAUUCAUCUAGGCCACAACGUGGACAUUUGAUGUCUGUUAUUCCUCUUGUCUUCAGGGCCUCGCCCACUGGUAAUGCUCCUUGAAUACUCAACCAGAGGAGAACCUUUAACUUUGGUACGCAUUUGAUUGCCCAAGGGUCUCUAACCCACUUGAAAUCUGUCUGUGUUGCAGGGUUGCCAGUAGAUGGCAUUGGUCUUGGUGAUAAGGCAUGCUAGUACCCCGAUCUUGUUGAAUAUUCCCCGGACUCCAAUGGUCUCCAGAUGAAAGAGUCCUCCUCUCCCGUCUAAUUUGGUUGGAUGCAGAGGAUAGAAAAAUGAUAGAUUACUCUUUCGUUUCUGAUACAUUCACAAGAUGAUUCCAAUAAAUUUAAACUGUUAGAUUUGCCAUUAUAUAUUUUUAUAAUUUUUUGGUACAAAUGUGGAUCUUUAAACAG
rnacentral:lncRNA from 1 species